GCAGACUCACUCUGUGCCCAACUGCUCUUUCCAGUUAUGGCGCUUUUUCGGUCUGCUAAAGAAAACCCAUGAUCUUUCUUUUAGAAUGCUCCUCGUCUUCAUGAGCGAGUUUUAUAGAAGAUCAUAGAACAUGGUG